CAUUUUGACCCAUACAGUCCUAUCUACUCCGAUCGUGAGAGAGUUCAAAUCUUGUUGUCAGAUAUUGGUUUUCUUGCAGGAUGCUAUUUGGUGUACAGGGUUGCUUUAGUAAAAGGCUUCACAUGGGUGAUGCUUGUCUACGGAGCUCCUCUACAUGUUGUCAACGGAUUCUUGGUGAUGAUUACUCUCCUGCACCACACCCAUCUUUCUUUACCUCAUUAUGAUUCGUCCGAGUGGGACUGGCUGAGAGGAGCUCUGGCCACAGUCGACAGAGACUACGGGAUUCUGAACAAAGUGUUCCACCACAUAGCUGACACUCACGUGCUUCACCAUUUGAUCUCCAGCAUCCCACAUUAUCAUGCC
rnacentral:lncRNA from 1 species